rnacentral:rRNA from 1 species
UACGUAGGGGGCAAGCGUUGUCCGGAAUGACUGGGCGUAAAGGGCGUGUAGGCGGCCGAUUAAGUCUGGAGUGAAAGUCCCGCUUUCAAGGUGGGAAUUGCUUUGGAAACUGGUUGGCUUGAGUGCGGAAGAGGUAAGUGGAAUUCCCAGUGUAGCGGUGAAAUGCGUAGAGAUUGGGAGGAACACCAGUGGCGAAGGCGACUUACUGGGCCGUAACUGACGCUGAGGCGCGAAAGCGUGGGGAGCGAACAGGAUUAGAUACCCCCGUAGUCCCUGAGCGGGCU